UUGAUUUGAUUUUGACUUCUGAGGAACUUUAUUAACCAGUUGCUUGGGUUCAUUGCAUGAUAACCGGUCCUUUUUAUUAGUUUUUGGGAAGAGUUUAUUAAGUAAUGCUUGCCUUUAUUACUUUACGACUGGUUCCUCCUAUUGCUUUUCUGGAAGAGUUCAAAAGCAUGGUUUAGGGUUUUCUUUUUUCUCUGUUUUAAGGUCUUUUUCUUGAUUAGUUUUUUUUUUUAUAAUUGGGAAAAGAGGGAUUCGAACCUUGCUCUUUAGGUAGGAGGUUCAUGCACCAACCAUUGAGUCAAA
rnacentral:lncRNA from 1 species